GUAGGUGGCAAGCGUUGUCCGGAAUUAUUGGGCGUAAAGCGCGCGCAGGCGGUUCUUUAAGUCUGAUGUGAAAGCCCACGGGCUCAACCGUGGAGGGUCAUUGGAAACUGGAGAACUUGAGUACAGAAGAGGAAAGCGGAAUUCCACGUGUAGCGGUGAAAUGCGUAGAGAUGUGGAGGAACACCAGUGGCGAAGGCGGCUUUCUGGUCUGUAACUGACGCUGAGGCGCGAAAGCGUGGGGAGCAAACAGGAUUAGAUACCCUGGUAGUCCACGCCGUAAACAAUGAGUGCUAAGUGUUAGGGGGUUUCCGCCCCUUAGUGCUGCAGCUAACGCAUUAAGCACUCCGCCUGGGGAGUACGGCCGCAAGGCUG
rnacentral:rRNA from 1 species